ensembl:lncRNA
UUUUCAUUAUUACAUUUUUAAAAAUGUAUUUAUGACCUGACGACACGUGUUAAUAUGGUGACGUUUUGUGUUAUAUGUAACAAUCAUGGAAGGAGUCUCCGGUGUUAGCGCUUUGUAAAACUGUAACCUUAUGUUUUCCGACAUCUUCGGGACGUAGAUGUUUUUGCGGUUUCUCGGUAACGAAGGACAACAAGCUGCAGUUUUUUUUUUUGCUGCUGCUGAGGGAACGACUGUUUCAGGAACAGCAACUGACCAGUUUCACAACAUUAUAAGUAACUAUAGAUGGUUAAGAAGUACGGCACGUAACCAAAAGGACCUUGCUAGCUAUGAUAUCCAGCUGCGAGAGGCGAUUCUGUUUUAAGCCGAAUUUCAAAUGACCCCAAAACACAACUAGCUAAUAAGUGAUGCGUAAGAAUGAUGGUAGUUUAAGGUUGUGCAUCGACUUAUAAGUAGAUGUUUUUAGCGACAUGCUUUGAUUUUUCUGUCUGAACCAUUUUUACCCAUUAAAAAAGAGAACACGGAUACCACAUGCUCCAGCGAUAGCCUCGAAGGCUGAGGAUUGCUCCCUAAACAUAGCAUGUGCUAUCGAUCUGCUCAUCUCCUGUACAAACAGCAGCGCUAGCACUUCUUCAGCCUGAGUCAGGUCUACAAAAGAUGAGCUGAAACUAGCAUUCUGCGUGACAACGCCGGGCGUCGGAGGACCGAGCGUGAUUAUUCGAGCCAUGUCGGCUAAAAUGGCAUCAUCACUCGCUCUGCAUUGAGGGAGGAAAUGCGAAUGUGAUGACACUAGCGCUUAUUUCCGGAAUACACCGACAGAGUGCUGUGAAAGCUUCUCAGCAGGCCUCGAGGAAGAUGAUGAUGAAACAGUAACGCAACAGAGCUAAAGACACUCCAUCACGCGCCCUCGUUUCCUGCAGGACAGAGGGAAGGAGGGUGAUGACGUGUAAACAAUCCCGAUGGAACCGAAGCAACGAAUUCCCGCCGCGGACUCCCGAUGGCAGACGCGUGCGGGUCUAGACGGCGGCACAGGACGUCAUCGGGCGUCACUCCACACCUGCAUCGCGCUCAGGUCUCUCUCACAGUCGGAUCGGAUUAGUAUAAAACCCAAACGUCCCGUCCUGCAGGAAGGAAGCGUCGAGUCGAGUCGCGCUCUCCUCGUUAAUGUUUGAUGAAGAAACUCGAGCGGCAUGAAAACCCCACCGGUCUGCUGACUCUCUGUGGCACCGAGGAACGCUGAAAAUCUCCCGCUCUUCAUCCAGACGGACCUGAGACGGGCCUCGUCCCAAAUCGGGAGUGGACACUUCAGAGAGUAAAUGACAGCGACAGCGACAGGUUUGUGACACAAACUUUUUAUUUAAAAAGAGUGUGUGGUUUGGGACACGCCCACAUGAUGGUGUGUAUGUGGCCUAUAUGGUGACUAGAGAGUGUGUGGUUUGGGACACGCUCACAUGAUGGGGUUUAUGUUUCCUGUAUAGUGAGUAAAGAGUGUGUGGUUUGGGACACGCCCACAUGAUGGUGUUUAAGUUUCCUAUAUAGUGAGUAAAGAGUGUGUGGUUUGGGACACGCCCACAUGAUGGUGUUUAAGUUUCCUAUAUAGUGAGUAAAGAGUGUGUGGUUUGGGACACGCCCACAUGAUGGUGUUUAUGUUUCCUAUAUAGUGAGUAAAGAGUGUGUGGUUUGGGACACGCCCACAUGAUGGUGUCUAUGUGGCCUAUAUAGUGAGUAAAGAGUGUGUGGAUUGGAACACGCCCACAUGAUGGUGUUUAUGUGGCCUAUAUAGUGCGUAAUGAGUGUGAGGAUUGGAACACGCCCACAUGAUGGUGUUUAUGUGGAGUAUAUAGUGCGUAAUGAGUGUGUGGAUUGGGACACGCCCACAUGAUGGUGUUUAUGUGGAAUAUAUAGUGCGUAAUGAGUGUGUGGAUUGGGACACGCCACGUGAUGGUGUCUAUGUGGCCUGUAUAGUGCGUAAAGAGUGUGUGGAUUGGGACACGCACACAUGAUGGUGUUUAUGUGGAGUAUAUAGUGCGUAAAGAGUGUGUGGAUUGGGACACGCCCACAUGAUGGUGUUUAUGUGGCCUAUAUAGUACGUAAUGAGUGUGUGGAUUGGAACACGCCCACAUGAUGGUGUUUAUGUGGCCUAUAUAGUGCGUAAU